rnacentral:rRNA from 1 species
UACGGGGGGGGCAAGCGUUGUUCGGAAUUACCGGGCGUAAAGGGCUCGUAGGCGGCCAACUCAGUCGGACGUGAAAUCCCUCGGCUUAACCGGGGAAUGGCGUCCGAUACUGGAUGGCUUGAGUUUGGGAGAGGGAUGCGGAAUUCCAGGUGUAGCGGUGAAAUGCGUAGAUAUCUGGAGGAACACCGGUGGCGAAGGCGGCAUCCUGGACCAACACUGACGCUGAGGAGCGAAAGCCAGGGGAGCAAACGGG